AUUGAACGCUGGCGGAAUGCUUUACACAUGCAAGUCGAGCGGCAGCGCGGGGGCAACCCUGGCGGCGAGCGGCGAACGGGUGAGUAAUACAUCGGAACGUGUCCUUGAGUGGGGGAUAGCUCGGCGAAAGCCGGAUUAAUACCGCAUAAGCUCUGAGGAGGAAAGCGGGGGACUGGCAACGGCCUCGCGCUGUUGGAGCGGCCGAUGUCGGAUUAGCUAGUUGGGGGGUAAAGGCCCACCAAGGCGACGAUCCGUAGCUGGUCUGAGAGGAUGAUCAGCCACACUGGAACUGAGACACGGUCCAGACUCCUACGGGAGGCAGCAGUGGGGAAUUUUGGACAAUGGGGGCAACCCUGAUCCAGCCAUUCCGCGUGAGUGAAGAAGGCCU
rnacentral:rRNA from 1 species